GACGAACGCUGGCGGCGUGCUUAACACAUGCAAGUCGAACGGAAAGGCCCUGCUUUUGUGGGGUGCUCGAGUGGCGAACGGGUGAGUAACACGUGAGUAACCUGCCCUUGACUUUGGGAUAACUUCAGGAAACUGGGGCUAAUACCGGAUAGGAGCUCCUGCUGCAUGGUGUGGGUUGGAAAGUUUCGGCGGUUGGGGAUGGACUCGCGGCUUAUCAGCUUGUUGGUGGGGUAGUGGCUUACCAAGGCUUUGACGGGUAGCCGGCCUGAGAGGGUGACCGGACACAUUGGGACUGAGAUACGGCCCAGACUCCUACGGGAGGCAGCAGUGGGGAAUAUUGCACAAUGGGCGGAAGCCUGAUGCAGCAACGCCGCGUGCGGGAUGACGGCCUUCGGGUUGUAAACCGCUUUCGCCUGUGACGAAGCGUGAGUGACGGUAAUGGGUAAAGAAGCACCGGCUAACUACGUG
rnacentral:rRNA from 1 species